AUUUUCUUUUUUCUGGAUGGAAAAGUAUACUGGCAAACCUACUUUCCUUCCUAACAGGUGAAGAAGGGUCAAGAGGGUAUAAAACAAUAAUAAAGACAUUGAAGACACUGCUUUUGGUGAAUUUCGUUAUUAAAAUAUUGAUCUAGCGGCUCUUUCUAUAACAACUAGAUAUUCAUACAACACAAUUAGGGUAUAAUCGGUGGUCUACUUCAUUAGAAAGAUGUGUUCUUCCUUAUUUCCCUCUCUGAUAAGAGAUGAAAGGAUUUAAGCAUCAGUUCCACACUUCCACCACUUUGACAGCCUGUCCAGUCCUUAUCUUACCCUUCCAUCAGGCUGGGGGCAUCAAGGCUCUCUAGGAUUGAGAUGAUUUUGUUUAAUAAUCACAUGCAGACUGUUUCACUUUAUUAUCAUAUUUCCUGAAUAAUGUCUUAAACUCACUCCUCAGUCACAAACUUCCUUGACAUAACAACUGAAGACUUUCCUAAGUGUUUGACUAUUUUUAUUUUUGUUCAGUUAUUUUGCAAUAGCACUUAGCAUCAGGAUAUCCUGACCCUUGGAACAAAGGGGUUAAGAACAAAGAAAACAAAUAUAUGAUAUAAUAUAUCACAUACACUAAUGUACUAAGAACACAACACUUCAUUGUUCAUUUCUUCAAGAAUGACUUUAAAAAAAAAUCCAAGGAUAUACAUUUCCAUUGUAUCCUCUGUACUGUUUUACCUAGUUCCUUGUAAAAAUAUCUUACAGAAAUUACAAAAUGUUGGAUCACUGAGCAUGAAUACUUCCUAGUGGAGAUGAGUCAGGGCCAAGCAAUCACCAUUUCACAUUUUCAUUCCCAAGGAGGAAUCUACUUUAUUUGAAGGUUUGAAAAUUGGAAAUAUUUGCACAAUUUAAAAAAAAGUUCCCCCAAUAUGGGAUUAUUUUCAUCUUGGAGUAGAAGGGCAAAAAUACCACAAGAAAGGUCGUUCUCAUGGUAUUUCUGGCUCACAUAGAAACAGGAAGUACAGGAAAUCUUGCGAGAAAGCUUGGCUCGGAAAUUUUUGGCUCAACUGCAGGUUCAAGAGAUUGGGACAAACUGAUGCGAGGCUAAUGCUUGUUGGACUAAAACUCUCUACCAUGUGAAUUAUCUGAAAGGUGCUUUUGUUACAUUUUGUAGCUAGCAUCUCAUAGGCUGUGAUCUCUUUUGUUUUUCAGAUAGUUACUUUAGAAGAGCAUGCCUGUAAACCUAUAAUUUUCACUACUCAGUGGACAUCAUUCACCUUGAUAUGGUAUCUGCAGACAGAAGUUUGGAUCACUGAGGGUGGGGGUGCUAUGUGAUCAAAGGAAUCAUGGAACAGAGAAGACCCACAGGCCUUGUGAAUCAACCCAACAUAAUGAGAACUAACAGGCGAAACAGCUUGUUCCAAUGGACAAUGGACACCUAAUUGUAGCGAAAAGACUUUGCUGUUCCUGGAAGUACUGCUACUUGUUGAGGGUGUGAUGGCUUCAAGGUUACUUUGAGGAGUUGGGGUGCCGGCUGCCUGGGCCCUGAGGGCCCAGAGUCCCAGAGGGGCGGUCGAAGUGCACUCCAAGGCAUCUGGAGGUGAUGUUCUUACUGACAACGAGCAGGUGACUGGGUUGGAGAGGGACGUCAUAAUGGCUGCACAGAAGGGACUAGACCCAUACAAUAUACUACCCCCAAAGGCAGCUUCAGGUACCAAAGAGGACCUUAAUUUAGCCCCCGUCCUUCACCAGCAGUGGGCAGCAUCUGUGAAGAGAAUAGCGCCAUCAUCUGGUUUUGGCUGGACAAAGGUGAGGCUGGGUGAUGCCCUGACUGUGGCAACUAUUACAAGCUGCCUCACCAGCUGGCCCGCUGAGCCCCUACACUAAGUUACUCCAAAUGUGCUAUAAAGUUUCUUCUUUUUGAUAAAAACUAGCCAUUGCAUUGGCUCCUUCUUCCAAAAACUAAAAAUAAAAAGACUUUGCUCUGUGGUUGGAGCUAUAAAAGAAUUGAUAACCCCAAUACUAAAGUAUACAACCAAGAAAAGUGUCAAAAAUAUAGUUGAUUUAGAAUGUGGACUUUGAAGAAUUUUUGGUGUUCUGAGGGCUAUGUAAAAAUCUUGUAGACUAUGGGUGCUCUAGUCACUAGGCAGAUAAGCAUUUAUUAUACAUGAUUUGUAAAAUAAGGCAUUUAUAAUGUUAAAUAUUUCUAACAGUUCUAGAGAAUGUACCUUUUUUAAAAAAUGGAAACUUAGAAACAUGUAUCCCUUGUCAUUUUCUUUCACUUUCAGUCUAUUAAUAGAUUCUUACAAAACAAAAAGUUUAAUAAAAAUCUUCUCACUCAGAUAUUUUGGAAUUGUUUUAUACUCUUAUUGACCCUCAUCUGUGGCCUAUCUUUUAGAAAAAAAAAGCAAACUAUGGAGGGAGUUUAUUUAUUUUGUCCUGAACUUUCCUCUCCAUCAGUUCAAGCAUGGAUGUGUAAACACACACACACACACACACACACACACACACACACGACCAGUCUGCUUUUACAAAUGCAAUUCAAAAAAAAAAA